GAGAAAGAACCUUUCUCUCCAGGAUCACAAUCCAACGGUUCAAAAUGAAAGCCAUUCCUACGCAAAGCUUCCUGAUGCUUUAGAACAAACAACUCACUCUCUCACCAAACCACAACAGCUGACGAACAAGCUUCACAACUCUCAGAUCUCUCUCUCUCUCUCUCUCUCUCUCUCUAAGAAAACCAAAGCUUUCAGUACCAGAUCUCUCUCUCUCUCUCUCUCUCUCUCUCUCUCUCUCUAAGAAAACCAAAGCUUUCAGUACCAGCUGCUUCAAACUUCGCUAGCUCUCAGCUCUCUUCAGGUAACCACUCUCUCCGACGUCGUCGUUUUCUUCCCUUCCUAGUUUUCCCGGAAACUCUCCGGCUGCCUGCUAUUGCUAUUAUUACAGUUUAUUUUAUUUUAUUUUUCUUCUACUAUAAAUUUAAAAUUAGUGAAAAAGUUGUAAUUUUACUGGCGGAUCUAACGGUGGGGC
rnacentral:lncRNA from 1 species